UACGGAGGGGGCUAGCGUUGUUCGGAAUUACUGGGCGUAAAGCGCGCGUAGGCGGACUUUUAAGUCGGGGGUGAAAUCCCGGGGCUCAACCCCGGAACUGCCUUCGAUACUGGAAGUCUGGAGUUCGAGAGAGGUGAGUGGAAUUCCGAGUGUAGAGGUGAAAUUCGUAGAUAUUCGGAGGAACACCAGUGGCGAAGGCGGCUCACUGGCGCGAUACUGACGCUGAGGUGCGAAAGCGUGGGGAGCAAACAGG
rnacentral:rRNA from 1 species